rnacentral:lncRNA from 1 species
UUCUUGGCCUUGUUCUUGUUGCGGCCCUUGGCCAUGGCUGCGGGGCGCCCUUCUCCUCGUCCUAGGGUUUCCCCGGGCGCUUUGGUCGGCUCGGUUCUGUCUCUCCCCGCCGCCGUCUCGCCAGGGGCGGAAGUUGUAUCUUGCGAUUGCGAUGGAAGAAAAGCAGGCCUAGUGAGGCCUGCUAGCUAGGCCCAUAAGGUUUGGAAGAAGGACGGCGCAACGAGAGAGCUCUGAACUGAGCCCAAAUUGCCUCAGAAAAUACUGAGCCCAAAAAUUUGCUGGAAGGAAAAGGAAAACUGAGCCCAGAUAUCUAAAUUUCCCAAAUCUAGCCCAGAUAGUUAUUUU